CAGAUGCGGUGUUAUAAACAAGACUGAACGUGUCUCAAAAUGUCUACGUUUACUCUCUUCACCAGAGGGUGGCGCUGCUGCGCAUAGAGCUCCUUCAGGUUGAUUUGAGUUAGCGGGCUGACCAAAUCCAAGAUGGAGGGAACAAUCUAGCUACAGAAGUUGACUCUUUUUUUCAAAAAACAAAGAAAAUGAAGAAACAAACAUGUACAACAAUAACUCAGAGGAGGAUGGUGACACCACACAUUUUUGAAGACAAUUCGAAAAAUGAAACCAGUAAGGCGGUGGGAGUAACUUUUAACAACAACUGUUAACUAUGACUAACGUUAGCUAACAUUCGCUCUGCUGGUGAUAGCUGCCUGUAAGGAAAGAGUCAGCUGACCAAACUGAGCACCUUGUUUCAGGGUUUGACCGACCGUCUGUCCAGCCAUCCAAAAUGCUAAGUUGUUGUACUCACUUGUUCUGGUGCUUGGAGCCCUGGAGGUGUGCGUGGUACUGCUCUAUGGAGUUGAGGACCACACUGCAGACACUGCAGGAGUAACUACUGCGCAGCCCUGGAGAGACACAAAUACAGACUUUGCACACCGCAGAGCCGUCACUGCAGAUCUUUACUCAGAUCAGAGAUGAGCAACCUUGGCGUUGCAGGGCUGUACGACAAAACAGUGAACGAUGAAGAGCUUGAAGCUUUUCCCUUUAUCCUGCCCCCCCCCCCCCUUUUGUCUGUGCCUUUUUGAUAAUCAACGUGUCAUUCUGGGUUUG